UGCCAGCCGCCGCGGUAACACGAACCGUACGAACGUUAUUCGGAAUCACUGGGCUUAAAGAGUUCGUAGGCGGCUUGGUAAGUCAGAUGUGAAAUCCCACAGCUCAACUGUGGAACUGCGUUUGAUACUGUCAAGCUUGAGGAAGACAGGGGUGAGCGGAACUGAUGGUGGAGCGGUGAAAUGCGUUGAUAUCAUCAGGAACACCGGUGGCGAAGGCGGCUCACUGGGUCUUUUCUGACGCUGAGGAACGAAAGCUAGGGGAGCGAACGGGAUUAGAUA
rnacentral:rRNA from 1 species